GCUGAUAUCUUUUGUUAUUGUAUUUAGUUCUCGUCUAGCUCCUGUAUAAUAGUUAUUAGACUAGUUGUUAUAACUGUUAGCUAUCUUUUCUCAUUUGUA